GACAGAGGGUGCAAACGUUGUUCGGAUUUACUGGGCGUAAAGGGCGCGUAGGCGGCGUGGUAAGUCACUUGUGAAAUCUCUGAGCUUAACUCAGAACGGUCAAGUGAUACUGCUGUGCUAGAGUGCGGUAGGGGCAAUCGGAAUUCUCGGUGUAGCGGUGAAAUGCGUAGAUAUCGAGAGGAACACCUGAGGUGAAGACGGGUUGCUGGGCCGACACUGACGCUGAGUGCGCGAAAGCCAGGGGAGCAAACGGG
rnacentral:rRNA from 1 species